rnacentral:rRNA from 1 species
AUUGAACGCUGGCGGCAGGCCUAACACAUGCAAGUCGAGCGAGCGGCGGACGGGUGAGUAAUGUCUGGGGAACUGCCUGAUGGAGGGGGAUAACUACUGGAAACGGUAGCUAAUACCGCAUACCAUCGGAUGUACCCAUAUGGGAUUAGCUAGUAGGUGAGGUAACGGCUCACCUAGGCGACGAUCCCUAGCUGGUCUGAGAGGAUGAACAGCCACACUGGAACUGAGACACGGCCCAGACUCCUACGGGAGGCAGCAGUGGGGAAUAUUGCACAAUGGGCGCAAGCCUGAGACAGCCAUGCCGCGUGUGUGAAGAAGGCCUUAGGGUUGUAAAGUACUUUCAGCCGGGAGGCGUUACCCGCAGAAGAAGCACCGGCUAACUCCGUGCCAGCAGCCGCGGUAAUAC